GCUGAGCACAGACGUAUAAACAUG
rnacentral:piRNA from 1 species